GUGCUCGCUUUGGUUGCACAUAUACUCUCAUUGGAUCGACACAGAGAUUAGCAUGGUCCCUGCACAAAGUAUCACACACAGAUUUGCGAAGCAUUCCAUAGAUAU
ensembl:snRNA U6 U6 spliceosomal RNA